UAGGGAAUCUUCCACAAUGGACGCAAGUCUGAUGGAGCAACGCCGCGUGAGUGAAGAAGGUUUUCGGACCGUAAAGCUCUGUUGUUGGUGAAGAAGGAUAGAGGUAGUAACUGGCCUUUAUUUGACGGUAAUCAACCAGAAAGUCACGGCUAACUACGUGCCAGCAGCCGCGGUAAUCGUAGGUGGCAAGCGUUGUCCGGAUUUAUUGGGCGUAAAGCGAGCGCAGGCGGAAGAAUAAGUCUGAUGUGAAAGCCCUCGGCUUAACCGAGGAAUUGCAUCGGAAACUGUUUUUCUUGAGUGCAGAAGAGGAGAGUAGAACUCCAUGUGUAGCGGUGGAAUGCGUAGAUAUAUGGAAGAAUACCAGUGGCGAAGGCGGCUCUCUGGUCUGCAACUGACGCUGAGGCUCGAAAGCAUGGGUAGCGAACAGGAUUAGAUACCCUGGUAGUCCAUGCCGUAAACGAUGAGU
rnacentral:rRNA from 1 species